rfam:Schistosoma mattheei strain Denwood, Zambia genome assembly, scaffold: SMTD_scaffold0001569
AUCCAGAUGAUGAAUCUCAAAUAGGACGAAACUCACGUCGUGGAU